CGGCAGCGUCAGAUGUGUAUAAGAGACAGGUAGCGAAAUUCCUUGUCGGGUAAGUUCCGACCUGCACGAAUGGUGUAACCAUGGCCACGCUGUCUCCACCCGAGACUCAGUGAAAUUGAAAUCGCAGUGAAGAUGCUGUGUACCCGCGGCUAGACGGAAAGACCCCGUGAACCUUUACUACAGCUUGGCACUGAACAUUGAACCUACAUGUGUAGGAUAGGUGGGAGACUUUGAAGAUGAAACGCUAGUUUUGUUGGAGUCGUCCUUGAAAUACCACCCUUGUAGUUUUGAUGUUCUAACGUUGGCCCCUGAAUCGGGGUUACGGACAGUGCCUGGUGGGUAGUUUGACUGGGGCGGUCUCCUCCCAAAGAGUAACGGAGGAGCACGAAGGUACACUAAGCAUGGUCGGACAUCAUGCGGUUAGUGCAAUGGCAUAAGUGUGCUUGACUGCGAGACAGACACGUCGAGCAGGUACGAAAGUAGGUCAUAGUGAUCCGGUGGUUCUGUAUGGAAGGGCCAUCGCUCAACGGAUAAAAGGUACUCUGGGGAUAACAGGCUGAUUCCUCCCAAGAGUUCAUAUCGACGGGGGAGUUUGGCACCUCGAUGUCGGCUCAUCACAUCCUGGGGCUGUAGUCGGUCCCAAGGGUAUGGCUGUUCGCCAUUUAAAGUGGUACGUGAGCUGGGUUUAAAACGUCGUGAGACAGUUUGGUCCCUAUCUGCCGUGGGCGUUGGAAGUUUGAAGGGGGCUGUUCCUAGUACGAGAGGACCGGAAUGGACAGAUCUCUGGUGGACCGGUUGUUACGCCAGUAGCAUAGCCGGGUAGCUAAAUCUGGAAGAGAUAAACGCUGAAAGCAUCUAAGCGUGAAACUUGCCCUAAGAUGAGACUUCCCUUGCACUUUAAGUGCACUAAAGAGUCGUUCAAGACCAGGACGUUGAUAGGUCAGGUGUGGAAGUGCAGUAAUGCAUGAAGCUAACUGAUACUAAUUGCUCGUGAGGCUUGAUCCU
rnacentral:rRNA from 1 species